UACGUAGGGACCAAGCGUUGUUCGGAUUUACUGGGCGUAAAGGGCGCGUAGGCGGCUUAACAAGUCACUUGUGAAAUCUCCGGGCUUAACUCGGAACGGCCAAGUGAAACUGUCAAGCUAGAGUGCAGAAGGGGCAAUCGGAAUUCUUGGUGUGGCGGUGAAAUGCGUAGAUAUCAAGAGGAACACCUGAGGUGAAGACGGGUUGCUGGGCUGACACUGACGCUGAGGCGCGAAAGCCAGGGGAGCAAACGGG
rnacentral:rRNA from 1 species